rnacentral:misc_RNA from 1 species
AGUGAGUCGUCGCAUAGCAUCCUGUUGGCCUACUGGAUUUCAUUUACUCCUCACUGCCGUUAUUCGCGCGCUGUAGUCUGUAGCGGUCGGCGUGUGCAUUUUACCAAUUUUGCGCUUGAAAGUUCGAAUAUUCAUCAACUUUGUCAGUCGGUUAGAUAGCAGUUUUAGAAUUUUAAACUUUGUUUUGAUAAUAUUCAACUUGGUGAAAUGAUUUGUGCAACUUUAUACUAUUGUGAAAUCAGAUUUUUUUAAUCAACUUGCAGUUGGUGGUGAACUAUAUAAAGAAUAGUAUUUUUUAAUUAUAGUUCAGUACAUUGACUUUUUAUGUUCAGUUUUGUUUCGUAUUGCAUCCUUACUAGGACCACAUCCUUGUAGAAAGGGCGUUAUUUCCAUUGAUGGGAUGAUUCCUAAUUGAAACUCAAACUACUUAAGGAAACCGAAAGUUUUCUCCGUCAAACAUUUGAAGUUACAAGAAAAAUCCUGAUACGCGUACACUCGAACGUUUUCUCCGCCAGGCGCUUAAGAUUACAACAAAAUCCUGAUAUAUUCAUAAAACGCUUCAAGCUGCAAUGAAGUAUUCGACAAGACUAAUCGUCGUGUUGUAUAUACUAGCAUCAUUAAGUUCGACGUGUUUAAGCAUAAAGACCAGAAAGGCGAAAGAACCAAAACGUGAAAAGAACAACACUCAUCAGGUCGGCUUUUCCAACUUAUGCACAAUAGAAGAUAACACAGCUGCAUUCAGGUGUUUUUGUCAUGGUGGUACGGCUCCCGGCAAUGUUACCAAUACCGAAUGUUGGAUUUUCGGAAGUCUGGCAAAGGACCACGAGGUGUGGUUCCUGUUCUCCUCGCAACCUCGACUGACCGAGUUGAAAAUCAUUGUAAGACCUGACGGUCAGCUUGGCUUCAUUCCAACUAAAGCGUUGGAAUAUCUGAAAGAUCUAAAGAGACUCAUGAUUUCCUACGGAAAUGUCGACGUCAUUCAUCCGUACGCUUUUGCUAACUUAACGGAAUUACGAGAAUUAACACUGCCCAGAAGUCAGAUAGCAAACUUGGACCACCAUGCUGUCGCACAUCUUCCUAAUCUGACUGAGAUUAAUUUCAAUGAGAAUCGAAUCUACCAACUGCAAAAAGAUGUAUUUGUCGAUUUGCCUAAUCUUCAAAAACUGACAAUUAAUCACAACAAUUUGUCGUUUAUACAAGAAGGCGCAUUCAGAUAUCUGUCUCACCUUGUAGAACUGGAAAUGAAGGAUAAUUUUAUUACUGUACUUACGAAAGACACAUUUACCGGUUUAAGUGAACUAAAACGAUUGGAUUUAAGUUUCAACAAUAUCAGCAGGCUUGGCGAUCUAACCUUCGCAGAAUUGUGGGUUCUUGAGGAAUUGAUUUUGGAAAGAAACGAUAUCGAGUUUAUUUCGGACAGGGCUUUUGCAGGAUUGACUCAUCUUAGAAAAUUGGAUUUGGGCCACAACAACCUGACAACGUUGGUUAACAACGUUUUCGAUGGAAUUCCAGCCAUUUACUUCCUUGAUCUUCGAUACAACCAUUUGCAAACGAUAACAUUCGAGAAUGCUCGACCCAUAAUGCACAACCUUCGUAACAGGACCACCUACUUCUACAUACAGGAUAACGACUUCGUUUGCGAUUGUCGCUUAAAAUGGAUGUACGGUCUUUACAAUGAGACGAAAAGCGACAGAGUAAAAGAAGUUCUGAAGGAUUUAACAUGCUACUUGGAAGAUAUACAAGAAGAAACGUACGAUAAUAACGAUGACAACUAUGUUUUUGACGACAAUUAUGUGACAGCUUCGAUCGAGGAACUGCGUGACCCUUUCAUUCGCCGUUUACUCCAUAUACCACCCAACGAAUUGCCGUGUCCCCAGAAGAUAAAGAACCCCACCGAGAUUCCCAGGUAUCCCGAUAAGACUCCAGCAUAUGCGGAAAUUAACUCAAUUGGUCGCUGUUCCACAACAUCCCUCCUCCCUCUGUUCAUUUAUGCCAUUGCAACAACAGUUGAUCGAAUUAUCACGUAAAUUGAUAGGACUGAAGUACAGAGCAAGGGAGAAAGAGGUUAAAGAGAGAAAGAGUUUAUUCCAUCAGCUCGCUGAAUACUGAACGUGAGGAUCUAAAAUAAAUGUUUUGUCUAAAUUUUA